rnacentral:rRNA from 1 species
UGAGCAAUCUGCCCUUCUCAUCGGAAUAAGCGUUGGAAACGACGUCUAAUGCCGAAUACGACCUCCUUUCGCAUGAUCGGAGGUGGAAAGCUCCGGCGGAGAAGGAUGAGCUCGCGGCCUAUCAGCUAGUUGGUGUGGGUAAUGGCCCACCAAGGCGACGACGGGUAGCCGGCCUGAGAGGGUGACCGGCCACACUGGGACUGAGACACGGCCCAGACUCCUACAGAAGG